UGUUUCUGGAAGUCGAGGCAGUGGUGAGGCAGAGGGAGGGUUUCGAUCCCAAUUACCGGUGCGGAAGAGAGAUCUGGGAAUGGCGAAGCCGCUGGGGCCGACGGGGGAGUUCUUCCGGCGGAGGGACGAGUGGAGGAAGCACCCGAUGCUCACCAACAACCUGCGCCGCGCCACUCCGGGCCUCGGUAUCGCCGUCGUCGCCUUCGGCGUCUACCUCGCCGGCGAGGCCGCCUACAACUACUUCCACCGCCCUGAUGCCCACUCCACCACCCACCACUGACGGGUAAUGCGACGUCGGCCCCCUCUUAAGGUUUGCAGCAUGACAUGAUGCUGUCAUCCACUAGUAUGUUGUUAGGAUCAGCCCUCACUUUUCAUUUAUUUUUCCAAUUCCGAGGGGCCUACAAUAAGAGAGGCUGAAAUCAUUUCCUUUUACCCUAAAGGUCUAUGGUGUAAUCCGAAUAAACAAGUGAUGGAGCAAAUGGCCAUUUUCUUAGAUGGUCUUGGAUAUCCAAGUUGAAGUGCUUUGAUUCUUGUACGUAUUUUCUGACAUGUUCUGCCCUUCCCCCUCUCAGAAAACAUGAAACUUGUUAAGCAAUCUGGAUUUGGACCAGUGUCACAUGCUUUGCUUCUGUGUUCAGCAAGUUCAUUCUGAAACUUAUGGAACAGGAAAUGCUUCAUGAUGA